rnacentral:rRNA from 1 species
UGAGUGGCGAACGGGUGAGUAACACGUGGACAACCUGCCUCAAGGCUGGGGAUAACAUUUGGAAACAGAUGCUAAUACCGAAUAAAACUUAGUGUCGCAUGACAAAAAGUUAAAAGGCGCUUCGGCGUCACCUAGAGAUGGAUCCGCGGUGCAUUAGUUAGUUGGUGGGGUAAAGGCCUACCAAGACAAUGAUGCAUAGCCGAGUUGAGAGACUGAUCGGCCACAUUGGGACUGAGACACGGCCCAAACUCCUACGGGAGGCUGCAGUAGGGAAUCUUCCACAAUGGGCGAAAGCCUGAUGGAGCAACGCCGCGUGUGUGAUGAAGGCUUUCGGGUCGUAAAGCACUGUUGUAUGGGAAGAACAGCUAGAAUAGGAAAUGAUUUUAGUUUGACGGUACCAUACCAGAAAGGGACGGCUAAAUACGUGCCAGCAGCCGCGGUAAUACGUAUGUCCCGAGCGUUAUCCGGAUUUAUUGGGCGUAAAGCGAGCGCAGACGGUUUAUUAAGUCUGAUGUGAAAGCCCGGAGCUCAACUCCGGAAUGGCAUUGGAAACUGGUUAACUUGAGUGCAGUAGAGGUAAGUGGAACUCCAUGUGUAGCGGUGGAAUGCGUAGAUAUAUGGAAGAACACCAGUGGCGAAGGCGGCUUACUGGACUGCAACUGACGUUGAGGCUCGAAAGUGUGGGUAGCAAACAGGAUUAGAUACCCUGGUAGUCCACACCGUAAACGAUGAACACUAGGUGUUAGGAGGUUUCCGCCUCUUAGUGCCGAAGCUAACGC